GACUGUUCUCAAACUCCUGAGCUCAAAGCAGUCCACCCACCUUGGCCUCCCAGAGUUCUGGGAUUACAGGUGUGAGCCAUCUUGCUCAUUCUAGUUUAAACUUUUGAGUGGUUUGUGUCUCCUGAUUGGACUCCUACAAAUACAGAAUUGAUGCUAGGAAGGGUACCAGGAGAUAGACGCACACAGAUGGGAUUUGGGAAUAGGUUUGGUUAUCCAAGGAGCAGUGCUGAGCUCCUUGCAAUGGGAUAUGGGAUGCUGGUGAUUUCCAGGAAGUGCGCUCACAAUGACUCAAGCUGCCACAUACUGUUGAUUGUGAAAUGCCAGUUGAAGCAUAUGUCCUGCAAGCUUAGGGGUGCUACAAGUUGACCACUGCAGCAGUAAAGAUGACUCUGAAGAAUGGCGUGGGAUGGUUCCUUUCAAAUGCACUUGAGCAGCGGUCUCCAACCACAGGGCCACAGAGCUGGAGGUGGACAGUCUAGUUGCAGGAAAACAAGCUCAGAGAUCCCACUGAGUCUACAUUAUACUGGAUCUACCAUGAAAGACUUGUGAAUCCAGGAAGAGAGACUGACUGGGCAACAUGUUAUUCAGGUACAAAAAGAUUUGGACUGUAACUUAAAAAUGAUCAAAUUAUGUUUCCCAUGCAUCAGGUGCAAUGGGAAGCUCUUCUGGAGAGUGAGAGAAGCUUCCAGUUAAGGUGACAUUGAAGCCAAGUCCUGAAAGAUGAGGAAGAGUUGUAUGAGAGUGGGGAGGGAAGGGGGAGGUGGAGGGAUGGGGAAUGGGCCGGGAUGGGAUAGCGCAAACUGCCCGGGAAGGGACACCAGCACUGUACAGACCUGAACAAUGAAGAUGGCAUAUUUUGUUCAGGGAAUGGUGAAUUAAGUGUGGCAGGAAUGCUUUGUAGACACAGUAAUUUGCUUGUAUGGAAUUUUGCCUGAGAGACCUCAUUGCAGUUUCUGAUUUUUUGAUGUCUUCAUCCAUCACUGUCCUUGUCAAAUAGUUUGGAACAGGUAUAAUGAUCACAAUAACCCCAAGCAUAAUAUUUUGUUAAUUCUCACAGAAUCACAUGUAGGUGCCACAGUUAUCCCCAUUUUAUGAAUGGAGUGAUGAAAACCUUAGGAAUAAUGAAUGAUUUGCGCAGGCUCACCUGGAUAUUAAGACUGAGUCAAAUGUUGGGUCUGGUCUGACUUUAAUGUUUGCUUUGUUCAUGAGCACCACAUAUUGCCUCUCCUAUGCAGUUAAGCAGGUAGGUGACAGAAAAGCCCAUGUUUGUCUCUACUCACACACUUCCGACUGAAUGUAUGUAUGGAGUUUCUACACCAGAUUCUUCAGUGCUCUGGAUAUUAACUGGGUAUCCCAUGACUUUAUUCUGACACUACCUGGAGUUAGCACAGACCCCACAAGUUAGGGGCUCAGUCCCACGAGGCCAUCCUCACUUCAGAUGACAAUGGCAAGUCCUAAGUUGUCACCAUACUUUUGACCAACCUGUUACCAAUCGGGGGUUCCCGUAACUGUCUUCUUGGGUUUAAUAAUUUGCUAGAACAGUUUACGGAACUCAGAAAAACAGUUUAUUUUCUUUUUUUCUGAGAGAGAGGGUCUUAUUUUGUUGCCCAGGCUGGUGUGCAAUGGUGCAGUCAUAGCUCAUUGCAGCCUUGAUUGUCUGGGUUCCAGUGGUUCUCCCACCUCAGCCUCCCUAGUAGCUGAGACUACAUGCCUGCACCACCACAUCUGGCUAGUUUCUUUUAUUUUUUGUAUAGAUGGGGUCUUGUUGUGUUGGCCAGGCUGGCCACAAAUUCCUGGUCUCAAGUGAUCCUCCCACCUCAGCCUCUGAAAGUGCUGGGAUUACAGAUGUGAGCCACCACAUCUGGCCAGUUCAUUUCCUAUUACUGGUUCAUUGUGAAGGAUACAUCUCAGAAACAGUCAAUGAAAGAGACGUGCAUGCUGGAUGCAGUGGCUCAUGCCUGUAAUCUCAGCACUUUGGGAGGCCAAGGUGGGAGGAUCGCUUAAACUCAGGAGUUUGAGACCAGCCUGGGCAACAUGGUGAAAACCUGUCUCUAUAAAAAAUUAAAAAAUAAUAAUAAUAACUGGUGUGGUGUUGUGCACCUAGAGUUCCAACUACUAGGGAAGCUGAGAUGAGAGGAUACCUUGAGCUGGGGACUGGGGAGGCUUAGGUUACAGUAAGCUGAGAUUGUGCCACUGCACUCCAGCUUGGACAAAAGAGCCUGAUCCUGUCUCAAAAAAAAGAAAGAUACCCAGGGAAAGUUAAGUUCGGAGGGGCACAGAGCUCCCAUGCCCUCUGUUGAACAUGCGACCCUCCCAGCAUCUCCUGUGUCCAGCAACCCUGAAAGCUCUGCAAACCCCUUUCGGGGUGUUUAUGGAGGCUUUAUUAUGCAAGCAUGAUUGAUAAAACCUUUGGCUGUUGGUGAUUAAGUCAGUCUCCAGCCCCUCUUCCCCCUGGAGUUCAGUGCAUGAGGCUGAAAGUUCCAAGCCUCUUACCAUGUGGUUUCAUGGUAAUCAGCCCUCCUCUUGAAGAAAUUUAGGAGCUUGCAGUCACCCAGUCAUCUCAACAACAUCCCCAAAUGCAUUCUUACCAUGCUGGAGAUCCCAAAGUUCUUAGAGGCUCUUGUGUUAGAAACCUGGGACCAAGACCAAAUAUUAAAACAAAAGAUGCUCCUGUCACAUCUAUCACUGAGGUCUUUGUAAGAGCUUUAGAAGCUCUGUGCCAGGAACCAGGGACAGAGAUUAAAUAUAUAUUUCUUUUCUUUUUUUUGAGACAGAAUCUCCCUGUGCCAUCCAGGCUGGAGUGCAGUGAUGUGAUCAUAGCUCACUAUAGCUUUGGCCUUCUGAGAUCAAGCAAUCCUCCCAUCUCAACCUCCCAAGUAGCUAGGACUACACAUGCAUGUCACCCAUGCCCAGAUCAUUUUUGUAGAGUCAGAGUUUCACCGUGGUGGCCAGGUUGGCCAUGUUGGCCAGAUGGGGUCUUCUUUUGUUGCCCAGGCUGGCCACAAAUUCCUGGGCUCAACUGAUCCUCCCACCUCGUCCUUGUAGAGAUGAGAUUUAGUUAUGUCGUCCAGGCUGAUCUCAAACUCCUGGGCUAAAUCGAUUGUCUCACCUCAGCCUCUCAAGUAUGUUAUGAAGGUUAUAUGUUAGGAAGGGUCCCAGGAGGUAGACCCACACAGAUGGGAUUUGGGCAUAGGUUUGGUUUCCCAGGGGGCAGUGCUGAGCUCUUUGCCAGUGGGAAAUGGGAUGCGGGUGAUUUCCAGUAGGUGACCUCACAGUGACUCAAGCUACCACUUACUGUUGAUUGUGACGAAAUGCCAGCUGAGGCACAUGCCUUGGGAGCUAAGUGGUUGCUGCCCUGGACCACUGUGAAGACUGGUGUGGGAAGGGUCGCUUUGGAUGCACUUGAGCAGGGGUCCCCAACCCCUGAGCCAUGGAGCCGCAAGGAGCCACACAGCAGGAGGUGGGACCAUCCAGUUGCAGGAAAACAAGCUUAACACGCCCACUGAUUCUACAUUAUGCUCCUACCUCCCGGCAGCCUCUCCAGGCCCCGAACUUUCUCUAGUCAGCCUCUACAGACCAAGCUCAUGACUCUCAAUGGCCUAUUUAGGCCCAUACCCUAUCACGGCAGCCUCCGCAGAUGAGGCUACUGCCUCACAACAGCCUCCACAGGCACAGCUCCAUCGUUACAAUGGCCUCUUUAGACCCAGCUCCUGCCUCCCAGCCUUCUCUCCAGGCUCUGAACUUUCUCAGGUCUCCCUCUGUUGUCCAAGGCUGGAGUGUAGUAGUGCUAUCGCAGC
rnacentral:lncRNA from 1 species